rnacentral:tRNA from 1 species
GGAGAUGUAGCUCAAGUAGUAGAGCACUUGCCUGGCAAGCAUAUAGCCCUGAGUUCAAACCCCAGUAAUCAUCA